rnacentral:rRNA from 1 species
ACAAUGAAGAGUUUGAUCCUGGCUCAGGAUGAACGCUAGCUACAGGCUUAACACAUGCAAGUCGAGGGGCAUCAGGAAGAAAGCUUGCUUUCUUUGCUGGCGACCGGCGCACGGGUGAGUAACACGUAUCCAACCUGCCCUUUACUCGGGGAUAGCCUUUCGAAAGAAAGAUUAAUACCCGAUAGCAUAAUGAUUCCGCAUGGUUUCAUUAUUAAAGGAUUCCGGUAAAGGAUGGGGAUGCGUUCCAUUAGGUUGUUGGUGAGGUAACGGCUCACCAAGCCUUCGAUGGAUAGGGGUUCUGAGAGGAAGGUCCCCCACAUUGGAACUGAGACACGGUCCAAACUCCUACGGGAGGCAGCAGUGAGGAAUAUUGGUCAAUGGGCGGUAGCCUGAACCAGCCAAGUAGCGUGAAGGAUGAAGGCUCUAUGGGUCGUAAACUUCUUUUAUAUAAGAAUAAAGUGCAGUAUGUAUACUGUUUUGUAUGUAUUAUAUGAAUAAGGAUCGGCUAACUCCGUGCCAGCAGCCGCGGUAAUACGGAGGAUCCGAGCGUUAUCCGGAUUUAUUGGGUUUAAAGGGAGCGUAGGUGGACUGGUAAGUCAGUUGUGAAAGUUUGCGGCUCAACCGUAAAAUUGCAGUUGAUACUGUCAGUCUUGAGUACAGUAGAGGUGGGCGGAAUUCGUGGUGUAGCGGUGAAAUGCUUAGAUAUCACGAAGAACUCCGAUUGCGAAGGCAGCUCACUGGACUGCAACUGACACUGAUGCUCGAAAGUGUGGGUAUCAAACAGGAUUAGAUACCCUGGUAGUCCACACAGUAAACGAUGAAUACUCGCUGUUUGCGAUAUACAGUAAGCGGCCAAGCGAAAGCAUUAAGUAUUCCACCUGGGGAGUACGCCGGCAACGGUGAAACUCAAAGGAAUUGACGGGGGCCCGCACAAGCGGAGGAACAUGUGGUUUAAUUCGAUGAUACGCGAGGAACCUUACCCGGGCUUAAAUUGCAGUGGAAUGAUGUGGAAACAUGUCAGUGAGCAAUCACCGCUGUGAAGGUGCUGCAUGGUUGUCGUCAGCUCGUGCCGUGAGGUGUCGGCUUAAGUGCCAUAACGAGCGCAACCCUUAUCUUUAGUUACUAACAGGUCAUGCUGAGGACUCUAGAGAGACUGCCGUCGUAAGAUGUGAGGAAGGUGGGGAUGACGUCAAAUCAGCACGGCCCUUACGUCCGGGGCUACACACGUGUUACAAUGGGGGGUACAGAAGGCAGCUAGCGGGUGACCGUAUGCUAAUCCCAAAAGCCUCUCUCAGUUCGGAUCGAAGUCUGCAACCCGACUUCGUGAAGCUGGAUUCGCUAGUAAUCGCGCAUCAGCCACGGCGCGGUGAAUACGUUCCCGGGCCUUGUACACACCGCCCGUCAAGCCAUGGGAGCCGGGGGUACCUGAAGUACGUAACCGCAAGGAUCGUCCUAGGGUAAAACUGGUGACUGGGGCUAAGUCGUAACAAGGUAGCCGUACCGGAAGGUGCGGCUGGAACACCUCCUUU